rnacentral:rRNA from 1 species
UACGGAGGAUGCAAGCGUUAUCCGGAAUUAUUGGGCGUAAAGCGUCCGCAGGUGGUUUUUCAAGUCUGCUGUCAAAGACUAGAGCUUAACUCUGGGAGGGCGGUGGAAACUGAAAGACUAGAGACCAGUAGGGGUAGCGGGAAUUCCCAGUGUAGCGGUGAAAUGCGUAGAGAUUGGGAAGAACAUCGGUGGCGAAAGCGCGCUACUGGGCUGGGUCUGACACUCAGGGACGAAAGCUAGGGGAGCGAAAGGG